UACGAAGGGUGCAAGCGUUAAUCGGAAUUACUGGGCGUAAAGAGCUUGUAGGCGGUUUGUCGCGUCUGCUGUGAAAAUCCGGGGCUCAACCCCGGACUUGCAGUGGGUACGGGCAGACUGGAGUGUGGUAGGGGAGACUGGAAUUCCUGGUGUAGCGGUGGAAUGCGCAGAUAUCAGGAGGAACACCGAUGGCGAAGGCAGGUCUCUGGGCCGAUACUGACGCUGAGGAGCGAAAGCGUGGGGAGCGAACAGG
rnacentral:rRNA from 1 species